GACCGCAUGGCCUAAUGGAUAUGGCGUCUGACUUCGAAUCAGAAGAUUGAGGGUUCGAG
rnacentral:tRNA from 1 species